rnacentral:rRNA from 1 species
GAUGAACGCUGGCGGCCUGCCUAAUACAUGCAAGUCGAGCGAACGGACGAGAAGCUUGCUUCUCUGAUGUUAGCGGCGGACGGGUGAGUAACACGUGGAUAACCUACCUAUAAGACUGGGAUAACUUCGGGAAACCGGAGCUAAUACCGGAUAAUAUUUUGAACCGCAUGGUUCAAAAGUGAAAGACGGUCUUGCUGUCACUUAUAGAUGGAUCCGCGCUGCAUUAGCUAGUUGGUAAGGUAACGGCUUACCAAGGCAACGAUGCAUAGCCGACCUGAGAGGGUGAUCGGCCACACUGGAACUGAGACACGGUCCAGACUCCUACGGGAGGCAGCAGUAGGGAAUCUUCCGCAAUGGGCGAAAGCCUGACGGAGCAACGCCGCGUGAGUGAUGAAAGUCUUCGGAUCGUAAAACUCUGUUAUUAGGGAAGAACAUAUGUGUAAGUAACUGUGCACAUCUUGACGGUACCUAAUCAGAAAGCCACGGCUAACUACGUGCCAGCAGCCGCGGUAAUACGUAGGUGGCAAGCGUUAUCCGGAAUUAUCGCGCGUAAAGCGCGCGUAGCGGUUUUUUAAGUCUGAUGUGAAAGCCCACGGCUCAACCGUGGAGGGUCAUUGGAAACUGGAAAACUUGAGUGCAGAAGAGGAAAGUGGAAUUCCAUGUGUAGCGGUGAAAUGCGCAGAGAUAUGGAGGAACACCAGUGGCGAAGGCGACUUUCUGGUCUGUAACUGACGCUGAUGUGCGAAAGCGUGGGGAUCAAACAGGAUUAGAUACCCUGGUAGUCCACGCCGUAAACGAUGAGUGCUAAGUGUUAGGGGGUUUCCGCCCCUUAGUGCUGCAGCUAACGCAUUAAGCACUCCGCCUGGGGAGUACGACCGCAAGGUUGAAACUCAAAGGAAUUGACGGGGACCCGCACAAGCGGUGGAGCAUGUGGUUUAAUUCGAAGCAACGCGAAGAACCUUACCAAAUCUUGACAUCCUUUGACAACUCUAGAGAUAGAGCUUUCCCCUUCGGGGGACAAAGUGACAGGUGGUGCAUGGUUGUCGUCAGCUCGUGUCGUGAGAUGUUGGGUUAAGUCCCGCAACGAGCGCAACCCUUAAGCUUAGUUGCCAUCAUUAAGUUGGGCACUCUAAGUUGACUGCCGGUGACAAACCGGAGGAAGGUGGGGAUGACGUCAAAUCAUCAUGCCCCUUAUGAUUUGGGCUACACACGUGCUACAAUGGACAAUACAAAGGGCAGCGAAACCGCGAGGUCAAGCAAAUCCCAUAAAGUUGUUCUCAGUUCGGAUUGUAGUCUGCAACUCGACUACAUGAAGCUGGAAUCGCUAGUAAUCGUAGAUCAGCAUGCUACGGUGAAUACGUUCCCGGGUCU